rnacentral:rRNA from 1 species
UACGAAGGGGGCUAGCGUUGCUCGGAAUGACUGGGCGUAAAGGGCGCGUAGGCGGAACGUACAGUCAGACGUGAAAUUCCCGGGCUCAACCUGGGGGCUGCGUUUGAUACGUGCGUUCUUGAGUAUGGAAGAGGGUCGUGGAAUUCCCAGUGUAGAGGUGAAAUUCGUAGAUAUUGGGAAGAACACCGGUGGCGAAGGCGGCGACCUGGUCCAUUACUGACGCUGAGGCGCGAAAGCGUGGGGAGCAAACAGGAUUAGAUACCCUGGUAGUCCACGCUGUAAACGAUGUGUGCUGGAUGUUGGGUGACCUAGUCACUCAGUGUCGUAGCUAACGCGAUAAGCACACCGCCUGGGGAGUACGGCCGCAAGGUUGAA